GUCCGCUUCCAGUCAGUCGCCGCCGCCACUGAACUGGAAGUUGAAACCAGCUCGCCCGGGGUCCGGUCGACCCCCCCCCCCCCCCCCCCCCCCCCCUCUCAGAGUUUGCUGCUGCUAGCCUGCUAGGAGGCAGCGGCGACCAUGGGAAACUGUUGUGCCACACCCUCGACGAACGAAAGCGGCAAGAGCUACCAGAAGCAGCAGAAGGUGAACCCCUACAACGUCGUGUAAAACCGCGUGGCAGCGGCCCCGACGCGCCCCGGCCUGGUGGUUCUGCUGGACCCGACGCGGAGGGACCUCGGCGCGCAGUACGAGCUCGACGAUGAGUGGGGACGCAGCGAGUUCGGCGUCACGUACAUGUGUCUGCCAUGAGGGCGUGGUACCCGUGCAAGUCCGUAUCCAAGCGCUAUCUGUGGACGCCCGUGGACGUGGAGGACGUGCGCCGGGAGGUGGACAUCCUGCGCUACAUGCCGGUGCACCCCGGCAUCAUCAGCCUCCGUGCCGUUUAUGAGGACACCAUGCACCUGCGCCACAUGAGGACGCCGUGCACCUCGACACCUCUUCGACAGGAUCGUCGCUCGGAGCCAUUACAUCGAGCGCGCAGCCGUCACGCGCACCAUAGUCGAGGUCGUCCAGGUCAGCAUCUCUCUUCCCCUCUUCUUCUUAGUUCUUGAUUGCUACGAGCCUACGACCAGUGUUAGCUUUUUAUGGUUUUCAGUCGUUAGCUUCUUGGUUCUUUAUUUUUUUCUGAACGAUACAAUUAUAUUACAAAAUGAUGUGAAAAGAAGGCUACUCACAAAUCAACUUCCCCCGUCUCGUUUAUGUGAAAGAGAACUUGUUUUCUAUAAGAUUUCUUUCUUAAUAUUUUAUUUUAUACCAUGGGUCUAAUUUUCUUAUGGUUUUCAGUAAUGUUCCUUAACCAAAUUUAUUUCUCUCAGCGCUUGUGGCAUGUGUGGUACUUGUUUUACAUAGCUUGAUUUAUUAUGAGAUUACUAAACUUAAGUUGGGAGAAGAUCCCUAGAUCAUCCAACAUAGCUAGGCCCUAAGUCAAAUCUGACAUGGCUGAAAGGCUUGAAGAAUUAGAGUGCAGUAGAAUUUGUCCAAGUUCGAACUACUAUAAUAUUUGAGUUCAUAAGAAAACCAAUUGCACUUAAGCCUUGAUGCGGCUAAAUAACUAGGAAUCAAGAUCAUUUCUGUUUUAUCUGACAUGCUAAAGUAUUAGUCUAAUGAGCUAGGCAGUUUUGUAGGAAGCGUUUGAGAUGACUCUAUGGUGACUACUAACAUUUCAGAACUAGACGCUCAAUUCUACUGAACUUUAUGUCAUCUAAAUUUUUCCUUUAUGGCCAUAAUGGUCCCUACGUCUCAUUACAUAUAACAUACGUCUUAAGGUCAGCACAACAGACACUACAUAGCAAAUUAAAGUCUAGAUGUUGCUCUUUUGAAGAUAAAGCUAUGCCUUUGUUUGAAGUUUAGAUUUAAACCUCAUCUUCCUCUGUGCACAUUCAUCUUAUGUUGUUGCCUUGUUGGGGUUAUUUUCCAGAAACAUGCACUUUUGAUGGCACUCAUGGUGUUACGUGAGGACUGUAAAUAAUCUCUAUAGUGUGACGUAGCCUAUCAUGAACUCAUGAUAAUGAUGAUCAUCUGGGCAAACCUUUCUUUGUUCCUUUAUUAUAUAUAUGCUAUGCAAACACAACCCUGCAAUUCAGAGCAUGGUGCGUGAUGAAGCUGGGACAUCAAAUGGUGGUCUGAAGAGUGACCCAAUGUGCAAUGCCUGGGAGAUGGCUGCGGUUUGGAUGCAAAACCAACUUUCCCAGAACAAGACAUAUAUAGGAACUCAUCCUAAACUACAUUAAUCAGCUUUGUGAGCGUUGUCCGAGUCCCAUGGGAGAAUCAGCCGUCGACUCUGCCAGUCUGACAUUGUAUUCACCAUUGGAGGCAAGAAGUCCAAGCUGGAACCCGAGUAGAAUUCAGCUCCAAGUCGAUGCCUACUCACCGCUUUACAGGCUGGACAAUAGAUAUAGAGGAGAUUAUUAUGGACGUAGAUACAUAGAGGAUAUCACUAAGAUUGUACUGUGUUUUUUUACAAGAAGAUUCUUUGUAGUAAUUAUUUUCGCUAACUGAAUUAACAUGUAUGUUUAGAUGUCUGUAGUACAUGUAUUAUUUGCAUACGACUAUAUUUAAUUCUAUUUACAUUUCUAAGACAUAUAUGACACAUCCCCGUCAUGUGUUUCCAAUUUUUUUGUUUCACUGUACAUGAAACCAUUUUAGACACCUAAUCAGUAGUUAGCAAAAAAAAGUCUUUUUCACCAAAUCUGCAUGCCUACCACCGCUUUUAAAAACUUGUCAAAUGAAGUGUUUGCCUUUCAUUAUAUCUAACCUCCUAUUUGUUGCAUCAAGCAAGUUGUAUAGCGCCUGAUAGGGCGCUGCCUUAUUCUAGUGUAUUUUAUAGGCCAAAGGGGCCUACGCGGAGGUUGUGUUGCGCCAGGGAAGAUGUGUGUUGCGUAUGCAGAGACGUGCACCUCUGUCGUGGGCGCGUGUGCACGUCGGCUCGAGUAUUACGCUGAGUGGGAGUUGACACGUGGCUGAGAAAGUUGAGUUCGUACGAGCAAGCACGCGAAGAGAAAAAAAAACGAAAAAAACGCGGGAGGAGGCAUGCAAGCAUGCAGACGUUCGUGAAAAGGACGA